AAUUCGUGGUGUAGCGNUGAAAUGCUUAGAUAUCACGAAGAACUCCGAUUGCGAAGGCAGCUUGCUGGACUGUAACUGACGCUGAGGCACGAAAGCGUGGGGAUCAAACAGGAUUAGAUACCCUGGUAGNCCACGCNGUAAACGAUGAAUGCUAGCUGUUAGCGAUAUACUGUUAGCGGCACAGAGAAAUCGUUAAGCAUUCCACCUGGGGAGUACGCCGGCAACGGUGAAACUCAAAGGAAUUGACGGGGGCCCGCACAAGCGGAGGAACAUGUGGUUUAAUUCGAUGAUACGCGAGGAACCUUACCUGGGCUUAAAUUGCAGUGGAAUAACGUGGAAACAUGUUAGCCUUCGGGCCGCUGUGAAGGUGCUGCAUGGUUGUCGUCAGCUCGUGCCGUGAGGUGUCGGCUUAAGUGCCAUAACGAGCGCAACCCUCAUCGAUAGUUAUUAACAGGUUAAGCUGAGGACUCUAUCGAGACUGCCGACGUAAGUCGUGAGGAAGGUGGGGAUGACGUCAAAUCAGCACGGCCCUUACGUCCAGGGCUACACACGUGUUACAAUGGGGGGUACAAAGGGCAGCUACCUGGCGACAGGAUGCUAAUCUCUAAAACCUCUCUCAGUUCGGAUUGGAGUCUGCAACCCGACUCCAUGAAGCUGGAUUCGCUAGUAAUCGCGCAUCAGCCACGGCGCGGUGAAUACGUUCCCGGGCCUUGUACACACCGCCCGUCAAGCCAUGGGAGCCGGGGGGACCUGAAGUAUGCAACCGUAAGGAGCGUCCUAGGGUAAAACUGGUGACUGGGGCU
rnacentral:rRNA from 1 species